rnacentral:rRNA from 1 species
CAGCCGCCGCGGUAAUACGUAGGUGGCAAGCGUUGUCCGGAAUUAUUGGGCGUAAAGGGCUCGCAGGCGGUUUCUUAGGUCUGAUGUGAAAGCCCCCGGCUCAACCGGGGAGGGUCAUUGGAAACUGGGAAACUUGAGUGCAGAAGAGGAGAGUGGAAUUCCACGUGUAGCGGUGAAAUGCGUAGAGAUGUGGAGGAACACCAGUGGCGAAGGCGACUCUCUGGUCUGUAACUGACGCUGAGGAGCGAAAGCGUGGGGAGCGAACAGGAUUAGAUACCCCGGUAGUCCCUGUCUCUUAUAC